rnacentral:rRNA from 1 species
AAGCAUAUCAAUAAGCGGAGGAAAAGAAACCAACAGGGAUUGCCCUAGUAACGGCGAGUGAAGCGGCAACAGCUCAAAUUUGAAAUCUGGCUCUUUUAGGGUCCGAGUUGUAAUUUGCAGAGGGCGCUUUGGCGUUGGCAGCGGUCCAAGUUCCUUGGAACAGGACGUCACAGAGGGUGAGAAUCCCGUACGUGGUCGCUGGUCUUCGCCGUGUAAAGCCCCUUCGACGAGUCGAGUUGUUUGGGAAUGCAGCUCUAAAUGGGAGGUAAAUUUCUUCUAAAGCUAAAUACUGGCCAGAGACCGAUAGCGCACAAGUAGAGUGAUCGAAAGAUGAAAAGCACUUUGGAAAGAGAGUCAAAUAGCACGUGAAAUUGUUGAAAGGGAAGCGCUUGCAGCCAGACUUGCCUGUAGUUGCUCAUCCGGGCUUUUGCCCGGUGCACUCUUCUAUAGGCAGGCCAGCAUCAGUUUGGGCGGUUGGAUAAAGGUCUCUAUCACGUACCUCUCUUCGGGGAGGCCUUAUAGGGGAGACGACAUGCAACCAGCCUGGACUGAGGUCCGCGCAUUUGCUAGGAUGCUGGCGUAAUGGCUGUAAGCGGCCCGUCUUGAAACACGGACCAAGGAGUCUAACAUCUAUGCGAGUGUUUGGGUGUCAAGCCCGAACGCGUAAUGAAAGUGAACGGAGGUGGGAACCCUUUAGGGCGCACCAUCGACCGAUCCUGAUGUCUUCGGAAGGAUUUGAGUAAGAGCAUGGCUGUUGGGACCCGAAAGAUGGUGAACUAUGCUUGAAUAGGGUGAAGCCAGAGGAAACUCUGGUGGAGGCUCGCAGCGGUUCUGACGUGCAAAUCGAUCGUCAAAUU